ensembl:lincRNA 6530411M01Rik RIKEN cDNA 6530411M01 gene
AAGGAGUGACCCCAGGGGAGCUGUGGUUCCCAGGCCUCAGAGGUGAAAGAGACAGUGGCUUGCAAAUGCAGCAACAGCAUCCCAUGAGUGCAGGGGAGCGCUCUGGGUGGAGCAGAACAGUAAAGUUCAUAAAUUCAGCACGUCAGAGCAGCCUGUCUCCCCUAUUUACUCUGCAAGUCCGUGACAUCGCGAGCGCUCGCUACUUUACUUUGUCUUAAUGCUGGCGCGUUAACCUCUGAACGGUGACUUUCCAGCCACUAGCCUGGAGGCUGUAAGGUGCUUCUGUGCCUAUUUUUAGCCACUUUUCCUCGAAGAAAAGAGAAAUAACAAUGUCUCGUUCCGGGGAUCCUUCUCAAGCAUGCACAGGAUCCAGGAGGCAACAGUAACAUCCCUAAGGAGCCAGUCUCAGAAGCAGGUGUGGGGCGCCCUCUCUCUGUUAUCAGAGAGGGUGCCGGAAAGCAGCUGGGCCACAGCGGGGAACUGGGCAGGAUCGCUGCGAGGAAUUCAAUAAGGAUCUCACUUGGUGUCUGUUUGCUGAACUGAAUCUUGCUUUGUAGAUCUGGAUACUUGAAUUCUCCUGAAGCGCUGAGAUCUAAACAGUAUAUCACCUGUCUUGGUGUAUAAUAACUUUAAUAAGAUCCAGGCUUGGUUCACGCAGACGAGCUACUGAGGCAAACGCAGAUGUUCCCCAAGCAUCUGGACCUUCUAAAAAUGAAGCGCCACCUCACCAGCAGCAAAGCAGCUUGAAGUUAAUGAUGAUUAACAAUGGGAAAGGUUUGGUCAACAUAUUUUCAGAAAGACACGUCUUGUGACAAGUGUGCAAAUGACACCUAAGGCUCUGGUUUCGAUGAAAACUGGCCCCAUCUUCCUGGAGACUAUUAGCCCGCAUCCUACCGGAUAGCGUGCACCUAAAGUUCUCAAGAGCUCCCUCAUCCUUGGAAGCAACAAUAUACAGAGGGGUGGAUAUCCCAGAGAAAAUAAACAGAUGAAAGUCU